UACAGAGGUCUCAAGCGUUGUUCGGAUUCAUUGGGCGUAAAGGGUGCGUAGGCGGCGCGGUAAGUCGGAUGUGAAAUCUCGGAGCUUAACUCCGAAACUGCAUUCGAUACUGCCGUGCUUGAGGACUGGAGAGGAGACUGGAAUUUACGGUGUAGCGGUGAAAUGCGUAGAUAUCGUGAGGAAGACCAGUGGCGAAGGCGGGUCUCUGGACAGUUCCUGACGCUGAGGCGCGAAGGCCAGGGGAGCAAACGGG
rnacentral:rRNA from 1 species